rnacentral:rRNA from 1 species
GAUGAACGCUAGCGGCAGGCUUAAUACAUGCAAGUCGAGGGGCAGCACGGUUAGCAAUAACUGGUGGCGACCGGCGCACGGGUGCGUAACACGUAUACAAUCUACCUUAAACAGGGGGAUAGCCUUUCGAAAAGAGAGAUUAAUACCCCGUAAUAAAUUGAACGGCAUCGUUUGAUUUUGAAAGCUCCGGCGGUUUGAGAUGAGUAUGCGUCUGAUUAGCUAGUUGGUGAGGUAACGGCUCACCAAGGCGACGAUCAGUAGGGGAUCUGAGAGGACUAACCCCCACACUGGUACUGAGACACGGACCAGACUCCUACGGGAGACAGCAGUAAGGAAUAUUGGUCAAUGGAGGCAACUCUGAACCAGCCAUGCCGCGUGCAGGAUGACGGCCCUAUGGGUUGUAAACUGCUUUUAUACAAGAGAAAACCCUGGUACGUGUACCAGGUUGAUAGUAUUGUAAGAAUAAGCAUCGGCUAACUUCGUGCCAGCAGCCGCGGU